UACGGAGGGUGCAAGCGUUAUCCGGAUUCACUGGGUUUAAAGGGUGCGUAGGCGGAUGGGUAAGUCCGUGGUGAAAUCUCUGAGCUUAACUCGGAAACUGCCAUGGAUACUAUCGAUCUUGAAUAUUGUGGAGGUAAGCGGAAUAUGUCAUGUAGCGGUGAAAUGCUUAGAUAUGACAUAGAACACCAAUUGCGAAGGCAGCUUACUACGCAAUGAUUGACGCUGAGGCACGAAAGCGUGGGGAGCAAACAGG
rnacentral:rRNA from 1 species